rnacentral:rRNA from 1 species
GCUUGCUUUCUUUGCUGGCGACCGGCGCACGGGUGAGUAACACGUAUCCAACCUACCCUUUACUCGGGGAUAGCCUUUCGAAAGAAAGAUUAAUACCCGAUAGCAUAAUGAUUCCGCAUGGUUUCAUUAUUAAAGGAUUCCGGUAAAGGAUGGGGAUGUGUUCCAUUAGGUUGUUGGUGGGGUAACGGCCCACCAAGCCUUCGAUGGAUAGGGGUUCUGAGAGGAAGGUCCCCCACAUUGGAACUGAGACACGGUCCAAACUCCUACGGGAGGCAGCAUG